GCCCCUGUAGUUCAACGGAUAGAACAGGAGACUUCUAAUCUCCCGAUAGAGGUUCGAUUCCUCUCAGGGGCA
rnacentral:tRNA from 1 species